rnacentral:lncRNA from 1 species
AAAAAACCAAAACACACAAACAUUUCUUUUUUUCUUUUUUCUUUUUUAUUUAUCACUUUCUCUUUCUUUUCUUUUACAUCCAUAUUUACAAAAAUGCAAAUUGAAAAACUAAACAAAAAUUACAUUAAAUAACUUAAAAUUUACAAAAUAGUCCCCCAACACUCCAGGAAUUGCAGAGGAACUUCCUGGACCCGUAUGAACACUGGUGGCGCGUGGAUCCACGCGCCACCGCUGGAUGACAGGGGAAGCAGGCCUGGCUUGCAAUCUUCUUCUCUUCCCCACAGGCAAUGACCUGCAAAACAACCAAGAAAACGCAACAGAACAGUUGAUUUUAGCUUUUGUUUCAUAUUUGUUUUUAUUUCUUUUUUUCUGCCCAAUGCUUUUAGAUCUGUAAUCAAUUUGUUCUCUUUCUGGUGGCUGUUACUUCGUUCUUCAGAUGGCGGAGCGUUGCUGCGGCUGAAGAGAGGAUCGUGGAUCUGCCACCGGUUGAAGGAGAUGAUGACAGUGUUGCCCCGACGCUGGAUCUGUUCGACCGUCGCUGCUGUGGAAGGAAACCGAGGAGAUCGCCUACAAAUUGGUGGCUUGGUGGAGCUAUUUCUUCAGGCGGCGCCGAUGUAGAGAGACCGCUGGUUUGCCCAAAUGGUGGGCGACUGGAGUGAGAGCUGGCGUCCUGUCUUGUGGCCGGUUGAAGAGAAGCUAAUGGUUGAGAAAGAGGGGAAGAUCGGUGUGUUGGAGAAGGAGAGAGGAGGACGCUGGGUAGAUGUGGUAGCUGCUCCAAUUCGUUCUGUUUUGGCUGCAACCGAGAGAGAGGUGAGGGGAAAAUGGUGAUGAGCAGCGGCUUUGUUUUGGGGCCGAAGACUGUUCUGUGGGGCUGUUGGGUUGAAAGAAAUACAGUAAAGGGGCAGCUGGUUAAGGGAGAAGAAGAUGAAAAUAAAAAAGGGGGUGAAGGGGCUCGUCUGUGGCUGUGGGCAAGCCGGCCAGGGAAGAGGAAGAAGGAAAAAAUCCGGGGGGUUUGGGGGGCAGGCGGCUGCCUUGAGAGGGGAAGUAGAAAAGUUAAGUUUUUAGGGUUUUUUUUUCCUUUGUGUUGCCUCCUCC